CACAGAAGACAGAACAACAGCCACACCACCACUCCACAAGGCCACGACCCACCAGUCCACCACAGUUCAGCAAGGGUCAGACUUCAGAGAGAGAACGCCUGAAGCCCUCAUCGCACUCACCUCCGUCGCACCUUCAGCAUCGUCACGCCAUCAGCAGCGUCGCGCCGUCAGCUCCGUGGCGCCGUUGGGUCCGUCGCGCCUUCAGAUACGUCGCGCAGUCAGCACCGUCCCGCCGUCAGCUCCGUCCCGCACUCAGCUCCGUCGCGCCCUCAGCCACUUCGCAUGUCACCUCCGUCGAGCUCUGCCUCUGAGAAAGCAAUAGAGAAGCGUUGAAGCGUUGAAAAAAUUAAAGCCUGAAGUCCUUUGAGCUCUGAGAGAAAGCAAUAGAUUUCCUCAUUUCCAGGCUUUUGUCUAGAAUUUCCUACUACUUUUCCAAUGGACCAUUUCUAAGGUUUUGGAUCAAGAAAGGAUAUGAUCCACGCAAAGAUCCUGAUUCUCGCAUUUAUCAAAGGAUUGAAUAUCGAAUUCCAAUCCCAUUACGAAGUCACUUUCAUGCUCAACUAGCCAAUAGGCUAAAACCUAGAUGGGAAGAUAUAUGCACCUUUCGAGCAUUCCCUUACAAGCUGCAGACAUCUUUACAGUUAUUCGAGCUUCUUGAUGAUUAUAUUCAAUCAGAAAUAAAUAAGCUUCCAUCACAGGCAUCUUGCACUAUAAGUUGAGAGCGACCAAGACCCAGAAAGGCUACUAAAAUUGUAGGCUGAACAUCUUGGUUCUUCCGCAUUCACCCAACUUCUUCCCUCAUUAUUGGGUUGAUUUGGUGAGCAACUUCAUUAUUGAUUGUGGCUAAUGAAAGAGGGUGUUCCAGUAUUGCAUUUGCAUCACAAGGUAGCUCUUCUCUUGGAAUUAUCAUGCAAAACCCAAUCCCACAUUUCUCAAAUUCACGCCUUUAUGCUCAAAACCGCACUCAUCAACCUUCCCUUCCCGCUCAGCAAGCUCCUCGCAGCAUCAAUCUCACACAUCCACUACGCUGCCUCCAUUUUCAAUUCUGCUCCAAACCCCAAUCUUUUCAUGUUCAACACUAUGCUAAGAGGAUAUUCUAUCAGCAACUCCCCUGCCAAGGCCUUGCCCCUUUUCAACCAACUUAGGAACCGCCCGAUUCUCAUUGACCGCUUCUCUUUCAUCACUGUCAUCAAGGCUUGUGCUAGGCUUUCCAACCUUAUCUUUGGGCGAGGCCUUCAUGGCCUUGCACUCAGGUCUGGAACUCUGCUUUUUCUUGAUUUCAGGAAUACCCUUUUGCAUUUCUACUGUGUUUCCAGGAGACUUGGAGAUGCUGACAACCUGUUUGAUGAAUUUCCCCAACGAAAUGACUUGGUCUCAUGGAACACUUUGAUGGCUGGCCACCUUCUUGCUUCUCAGCCUGAGCUGACCUUUCAUUUGUUUCGGAAGAUGCGUUGUUGCGGGGUUGAAGCGAGUGUUGCAACUGCAUUGAGUCUUUUGUCGGCAGCUGCUGAUAUGCAGAGUUUUCUUGGAGGCAAGUGUCUUCAUGGUUACUAUAUCCGACUUGGACUUAGUUCUAAUUUGAACGUUCUUACUGCAUUGAUUGAUCUCUAUGCAAGAAUGGGUCGUAUCUUUUUGGCACAUCGAGUUUUUGAUGGUGUUGCUCAAAAGGAUGUUAUCCUGUGGAACUGCUUGAUUGGCAAGUAUGCAAGAAGUGGGCUGCUUGGAGAAGCAGUAAAAUUGCUGCAGCAAAUGAGUCUUGAAGGUUUUAAACCUAAUUCUUCUACUUUAGUUGGGUUGCUUUCGGGUUGCCCUGCUUCCGGAUCUGUGCAAGUAGUACGAUACGUUACCAGUUUUAUGGUAGAGGAGAAACUAGAGGUGGAUGCAGUUCUUGGAACAGCACUUGUUAAUGCAUAUGCCAAAUGUGGCUUUCUAGACGAGGCUACGGACAUAUUUGAGAGGAUGAAGGGUAAAGAUAUGAAAACAUGGACAGCCAUGAUUUCAGGUCAUGGAAUUCAUGGCCAGCCGACUAAUGCUGUUAAGCUUUUCAACAGGAUGGAGAAUGAAGGGUUUAGACCAAAUGAGGUUACAUUCUUGGCAGUUCUCAGUGCUUGUAGCCAUGGAGGGCUUGUAAUUGAGGGGAUGGAAAUUUUUAAGAGCAUGGUUUGCAAAUAUGGCUUUUCACCACAAGUUGAACAUUAUGGAUCUCUCAUUGAUCUUCUAGGUCGAGCAGGGAUGCUACAUGAAGCGCACAAACUAAUUGAAAGCUUGCCUAUUAAGGGCGAUGCAACUGCAUGGCGUACAUUGCUUUCUGCUUGCCGAGUCUAUGGUGAUGUUAAAUUGGGGGAAUGUGUGAAAGAUGUGCUUAGCAGCAUUUAUACAGAGCAUCCUACAGAUUCACUCCUGAUUUCUGGCAUUUACGUUGCUUCUGGAAGAAUCUCAGAUCUAAUAAGAUUGCAAGAAUUGAAGCAAACUAAUGCUGUUACAGUUGAAACUGAUGGAGGAAAUAUGUUAAAGGAAGCUGGAGUCAGUAUAGUUGAAAUUGAUAAUCAGGGAUGAGGAUAUUGAUGGUUCAAGUAAAAUCAUUGGCUCUAACUCUAUCACGCAUAGUGGUGGUCUCAAUACCUCGGGACAUGAUACAGUUUUGAUGUCAACACUCAAUUGCGCAAUAUGGCAUCUCUGCUUGUAUGGCAUGAUUCAUGUCCACCAAAUUAGAUAAUAUUGUAAUUUGCUCCUAGAGCACCAUACCGUCAAUAAACCCAACAAGGGUAAAGCAAGAAGAGGAUGUAAUAGCAGGGAUUCUUAUAUGGUCUUCUUAUUAUUAUUAAAUCUCAAAAAUACAUAAUAAUGCAAACUUGCACAGCUUCACUGGGAACAUCAUCUUCCAGUGGUAUUGCUUCAUCUGAUGAAGCCUCUGAGAGGAUCAAAUCAGGCUUCAUUCACUUCAAGAAAGAGAAAUGACGAAAACCUUGCUUUGUAUGUAAACUUGCCAAAGGACAAUCCCCCAAGAUACUUUUCUUUCUUUUUCUAAUAAUUUAAACUUUUUUUCUUUUAAUUAAUCUUUUUUCUAUUUUUGAUUUUUUGCUAAUGUCUGAUUUUGAUUUUUGAAUUUUAUUGUUUUUUUAAAGACAAGCUGAGGCGGAUGCUGAGAGGAUUGGUGUUGGUGUUACCAGCAAGGCACAGAGCAUCUUUGAUGCUUUGUCCAAAACGAUUUUCAAUCCUUCCUGUGUUGUUUUUCCUGCAUGACAUGAUUUUUAGGUGGAAACUGUGUUAGUUGAAUGCUCAAACUUUGCUACAUACUGAUGUAGUCUCGUAGAUGCGAGAAUUAUGCUUCAUGUGGUUUUGGCCAUGGCCCUAUGCCGAGUUGAUUCUUCGUUGCUAGUUGGUUCUUCCACACUUUAAUGGCGCAGCACGUGUUUAUAGGCAAUACAUUAGACCUUUCUAUAUGAACCCACAACUUUCACACCUGCCGCAUAUGCCACGAACUUCUCACAUGUGGUAUGUUCAAAGAAAGAACAUAUUCAGCAAGCAACACGAUGUUUUGACUGUGGCUGAGAGAUACAUGGAAGAGCAUGGACAGAAGCCUUUGAAAGACUCAUAAGCAGGGUAACAAAUAUUUGCUAUGUUGUGCACACUACAUGAUUCACAACUUUCUCACCCUUUAGCUUAGAUUUCGCACUAUCUCUGUCAAAACUGAGACUUCACAGGGAGGAAGACGCUUACAGUGAUAAAAUAAUGUACUAUAUGUUAAUUGUAAUAUUGCAUAUGGAGGUUGAUUGUCAAAUUCAGUUUUGGUUAUUCAAGCAUUUUGGAACAAUAGGCCACUAGAAAUUAUUGUAGUUAACGUAUCAUGUGCUAGAAUACUUGGCUUAGUUGGCUAACUUGAUUGUUUAUUUGAUUAUUAAAUAUAUUCUAAUUUUAGUUUUAUUUCAA